rnacentral:tRNA from 1 species
AUACGAGUGCCAGAGGUUAGAUGGGUUGGUUUUAAGCAUCAAAUACGGAUUGUCCCUCGUAUA